GACGAACGCUGGCGGCGUGCCUAAUACAUGCAAGUCGAACGAACCGCGACUGAGUGCUUGCACUUGGUCAAGGUGAGUGGCGAACGGGUGAGUAACACGUGGGUAACCUACCUCAUAGUGGGGGAUAACAGUCGGAAACGACUGCUAAUACCGCAUAGGACAUGGGAUCACAUGAUUCCGUGAGGAAAGGUGGCGCAAGCUAUCGCUAAGAGAUGGACCCGCGGUGCAUUAGCUAGUUGGUAGGGUAACGGCCUACCAAGGCGAUGAUGCAUAGCCGACCUGAGAGGGUGAUCGGCCACAUUGGGACUGAGACACGGCCCAAACUCCUACGGGAGGCAGCAGUAGGGAAUCUUCCGCAAUGGACGCAAGUCUGACGGAGCAACGCCGCGUGAGUGAAGAAGGUCUUCGGAUCGUAAAGCUCUGUUGUUAGAGAAGAACAGCGCAUAGAGUAACUGUUAUGCGUGGACGGAU
rnacentral:rRNA from 1 species